rnacentral:rRNA from 1 species
GAUGAACGCUGGCGGCGUGCUUAACACAUGCAAGUCGAACGAUGAAGCUGGAGCUUGCUCCGGUGGAUUAGUGGCGAACGGGUGAGUAACACGUGAGCAAUUUGCCCUUGACUUUGGGAUAACUGCGGGAAACUGUAGCUAAUACCGGAUACGACGCCUUGGGGCAUCCCACGGGCGUGGAAAGAAUUUCGGUCAAGGAUGAGCUCGCGGCCUAUCAGCUUGUUGGUGAGGUAAUGGCUCACCAAGGCGACGACGGGUAGCCGGCCUGAGAGGGUGACCGGCCACACUGGGACUGAGACACGGCCCAGACUCCUACGGGAGGCAGCAGUGGGGAAUAUUGCGCAAUGGGCGAAAGCCUGACGCAGCAACGCCGCGUGAGGGAUGACGGCCUUCGGGUUGUAAACCUCUUUUAGCAGGGAAGAAGCGAAAGUGACGGUACACAGCAGAAAAAGCACCGGCUAACUACGUG